UCAAACUUGGUCAUUUAGAGGAAGUAAAAGUCGUAACAAGGUCUCCGUUGGUGAACCAGCGGAGGGAUCAUUAAAGAGUUGCAAAACUCCCUUAAAACCAUUGUGAACGUUACGGUUAUUGUUGCUUCGGCGAGUGGUCCGCCCUAGCGCUCCCCUCACGGGGGGCGGCUCGCCGAGCGAAACUAAACUAUUUUGUAUUAUUGGCCUCUCUGAGAAACUUUUUUAAUAAGUUAAAACUUUCAACAACGGAUCUCUUGGUUCUGGCAUCGAUGAAGAACGCAGC
rnacentral:misc_RNA from 1 species